rnacentral:lncRNA from 1 species
UUUUACCUUUUUUGGCAGUCGGAGGUGAUUUCGGCGCGGCGACGGACGACAGUCGGCUCCCUUUUCCGAUGAUUGGUUCUUCUUCUCCGGCGGAGGGACUAGCGGCUAGAGUUAGAGUUUGGUGUGAAGUGAGUUAUUUAUAUCCGUCUUUCUUUAAUUUGGACAGUCCAUCGCAUUUGAUCUCGACCGUCCGAUCGCGUUUAAAUAGGAAAUAAAUCUGAACUGUUCAUCGCGAUUUAAUCUAUACCGUAUGAUCGCGUUUAAAGAGAGAAUGAAUUUAG